rfam:Helianthus annuus linkage group 14, whole genome shotgun sequence.
AAGCCAUGAUGUGGCACAUCAAUCAACAAAUCCUUGAAUCUCUCCCAAGCUGCAUGCAACGACUCGCCCUCGUCCUGGUGAAAGGAAACAAUCCGGUUUCGUAGCUU